CCGGAGCAAGCCUGCCCUGAAGCAGAGGGCCUGUGCCCCUUUGACUCUGUAGUGUUGCUCUGCCCCGAACCCGGGGACUCGAGCCUUGUGACUUUGUGUUUGUCGUCCCAGGACCGGGGCCAGGGGCCCUGCCCGGCCAGAGAACAUCUAGCGAGCUGGUGGCUGAGAGGGUCGAGCCCCGGUCCCA